GUUAUGGUCCAUCUCUUUUUUUAAUUUAAAAGAUAAAAGGAGGUGGCAACUUUCGGUAGGACACCCUGUAUAUUUUUAUGCUUUAAAUAGAAAAAAGGAUAAUUGUGGUAUCAAACAAAGAGCAAAUCUCUCUCUCUCUCUCUCCUUCUAAAAUAAUCCUUAAAAUUAAUAAUCCUUAGGAUUAAGGGUCCUUAGGAAUACUAGAAGAAAUUGGCAGCAUAAUAUAUCUUAUUGACCCUAGCCAUGGAAAGAAAUAGUUAAAGAAAAUAUAAAACUUGUGCAAGUAAAGUACGUUAUAUAUAAUCAUUAUUAAAGCGCAAUAUCUUUUGCUGUGAUAUUUUAUCUAAACAUAGCUGAUGUUUUUAUAUACAAAAGCAACGCAAUAGAUAUUUCAUAAAAAUUAUUUUGAGAUAUUUUAUUUAAGCUGAAUAUAUCAUAAUUCUUUUCUUUUUAUUCGCGAAUUUUCUUUCCCCACUUUCUUAAUCAAAAUGGGACCUUUCACUCUACCAGUUAUUUUCUUGCGUCUAUAAUCCUGCGGACUACUUAUACUUUGGUGAAGACUGCAUGAUCCAACACUUCUACAGUGCGCUCGAAUUAUCAAGCGCACUGGAAGGAACAGUUGUACAGUCAACAUUUGCUGAUCACGUAGUGCACACUGCGACUAUACUGCAAGAUAUUUAUGUUCCUUUGCAAUUUUGAUACUAAGCAUUUUGUGUAAACUGUGAUUUUUGUAAAGUUCUGCAAAUCGCUAAUAAAUCAUUUAUCGGAUUUUUAAACAUAAGAUCGCAAAAUGAUGAAUCUGAAGGAAGCCGCACGUAUGAUCUAUGAUUUAUUUCUAUUCAUCGGUGUAGCGGUACUUUACAUUACUAAAACCGUGAUAUCAAUGCUAGUUCCUCGCCGAUAUCGAGGAAAAUUGAUCAAAGAUGAAAUUGCUCUCGUUACGGGUGGUGCAAGCGGAAUUGGCAAAUUAAUCGCGAUUAAACUUGCCAAACUUGGUGCGCGUGUAAUUGUCUGGGACAUCAACAAAAAUGGUCUUACGGAAGUUGCGGAGGAAAUAAAGAAAGUCGGUGGAAAAUGUUACACAUAUUGUUGCGAUAUCGCUGACAAAGAAGAAAUAUAUCGCAUUGCGAAAGUAAUACAGAUCGAAGUCGGAAAUGUAAGUAUGUUAGUGAAUAAUGCUGGAUAUGUUUACGGAAGAACUUUUAUGGAAUUGCCAGAUUGCGAAAUCGAACAAACAUUUAAAGUAAAUAUUCUGUCACAUUAUUGGGUGAGUAUAAAUAUUAACUCUUUAUUUUAUAGAAAUCGUUAUUUUUCGACUAUAUUUCAUUUAAUAUUAUUGCAGAUUACAAAAUCAUUUUUAAAAGACAUGAUGAAAAAAAAUCACGGUCAUAUUGUGACAAUAGCAAGUGUCACGGGACUCAUAGGAACUUAUAAAUGCACGGAUUAUUCUGCGACAAAAUUCGCAGCCAUUGGAUGUCACGAGAGUCUUUUUACCGAGCUAAAAGUACAUAAAAAAUUAUUUAAUAAAGCGAAUAAUUAUCGAGUGACAGUCGACUGCUUGCAUCCUAAUAACUGCCUACGAAACUCCCUGAUCCGGUUAAUCUAGUAAAAAGAAUCUAAGCAUCAGUCCCUGUGAAUAGUUAUGGCAAUUGCAACAUAGGCAAACCGAAUGCUUUUUUGUCAUGUGAUAUUUAGAAUGCCGAGUUAUAUAUAUUCAACACAAAAAUGAUUAUUCUUUAUCUAAUUUCCCUUGUUGAAUUGUAUUAUUUGAUGUGUUCUAAGGUGCAUGGAUACGAUGGAAUUCAUAUGACUUUGGUUUGCCCUUAUCUCAUAAAUACGGGAAUGUUCAAUGGAGUAAAUCCCAGGUUUGUAAAAGUAUAAUGUAAAAGUAUAACACAAAUGUCGGUAAGAAAAACUAUAGUCUCUCUCUAACUUCUGUAUUCUUAGCACUAUAUUCUUAACAUAUUUUUAAUAGUCGAGUUCAAUGAUUUCUAAUUAUGGCUCCUGUAUACACUACGCGGCAACGCUUGCCGCGCGGUAAAAAGCGACGCGUUAGCCAAUCAACUUACAACUUUUCCAUAAGAGCGAAAAAUUGAGUGGCUACCACGUCGCUUUUUGCCACAUCCUAUGUGCAGGAGCCAUAAUACUAAAAUUACGAAUUCGUAAUUCACGGCCGGCCGACAGUGGUCACCAUAUAGUCUCUCUCUCUUUUCCCCUCCCCUUGUCGAUCUUAUAUAUAAUAAU